GACGAACCGAGCGAACGUUGUUCGGAAUCACUGGGCUUAAAGGGCGCGUAGGCGGGAUGGCAAGUCGGUCGUGAAAUCCCUCGGCUCAACUGAGGAUCGUCGAUCGAUACUGCCGUUCUUGAGGAUUGCAGAGGAGACUGGAAUUCCCGGUGUAGCGGUGAAAUGUGUAGAGAUCGGGAGGAACACCUGAGGUGAAGACGGGUUGCUGGGCCAACACUGACGCUGAGGCGCGAAAGCCAAGGGAGCAAACGGG
rnacentral:rRNA from 1 species